AAUAUAUUUUCUUUCCAAUCCACAGACAAUCGAGAAAAGCCAAGUUCUCCGGAUUUAUUCUCAGAGGCAUCAUUGCCACAGUUCUCACUGCAGAAUGUGUCACCACCCCAACAAGUUUCAGCAGUGUCACAUCUGUUAAGAGAGCCAGAGUCCUCAUCUGAUGAAGCCACAAAGAGUAAGCAAACAGUUCUUAG